rnacentral:misc_RNA from 1 species
AACGCACAUUGCGCCCGCGAGUAUUCUCGCGGGCAUGCCUGUCCGAGCGUUGUUAAGCCCACUCGAGCCCUGCUCGGCGUUGGGGCGCGCGGGUCCCGAAGCGGCCCGCGGCUCCGAAGGCUAGCGGCGGCGGCCCUGGGAGCCCUCUGCGUAGUGAAACCCUCGCACUGGGAGCCCUCGGCCCGCCAGCCCACCAACUGAGCUCUAGGCUCACCUACGGUCAACCUCGGAUCAGGUAGGGAUACCCGCUGAACUUAA